rnacentral:tRNA from 1 species
CCAGUGCGUGGCCAAAUGGUUACGCUGUCCGCUUUGUAAGCGGAUGGUUCUGGGUUCGAUUCCCAUCUGCUGCA